UACAGAGGGUGCGAGCGUUGUCCGGAAUCACUGGGCGUAAAGGGCGCGUAGGUGGCGCUGCAAGUCGGUGGUGAAAGCUCGUCGCUUAACGACGAGUCGGCCAUCGAAACUGCAGGGCUGGAGCACUGUAGGGGCUAAUGGAAUUCCGGGUGUAGCGGUGAAAUGCGUAGAGAUCCGGAAGAACACCAGUGGCGAAGGCGG
rnacentral:rRNA from 1 species